GGACCCGGCUCGCGCGGGUCCACUAGGCGGGAGGCGGCGCGGCGCGGCCCGGCUUAGCUGCGCCUCCUCCCUGCCGCCCACCCGGCGAAGACGCGAGAAGGAAAAAAAAAAUUAUGGAAACUUGAAAAGUCAGAAGGGCAGUUAUAAGGUGUAACUUGAUACCAACCUUUCUGGAAAUCAGUAUAGCAGUGAAUGUCAGAAGCUUUAAAACAAACAGGUCCUUUGGCUACUAUAAAGCUGCUACCCACCAGCAAAACUACAUCAGUUGUUAAAAUAUUAAACAACUUCUAUACCAAUCAGCAAAUAGCCAUCACCUUCCAAAUGGCCUUACCUUGGCUCACGCAGACAUUUCAGCCUCUCCCAAACACCAUUCGCUUGCUCAUUUUCCAACCAUUAAAGAGUUAAUGUCCAACAUACCAACAGGCCUUUAGAGUCUUCCCCUUGCUCAGAGCCCUGGCCAUUGUCAGUUCUGACUGGUUAGUAGCUAUUAUGUAGAUAUUGUUAAACCUUUUAAUGUAACAUAUGUGCGUAUAUAUUGAAAGUAUUUUUUUAAUGUGACUGACAAGGGCUUAAUUUCUAAAACAUACCAAAUAGCUCACAUAACUCAGAAACAACAAUGAAAAAUAUCCAGUUGAAAAAUGGGCAGAUCUAACCAGACGUUUCUCCAAAGAAGAUGUAAUGCAUGGCCAACAAGCACAUGAAAAGAUGCUCAGCAUUACUAAUUUUUAGAGAAAUGCAAAUCAAAACUACAAUGAGUGCCGCCUCACAUUGGUCAGAAUGGCCAUCGUUAAAAAGUCAACAAAUAACAACUGCCGGAGAGGGUACAGUGGAAGGGAUCCUUCCUACACUGUUCGUGGGAACAUAAGUUGGUGCAGCCACUAUGGAAAACAGUAUGGAGGUUUCUCAAAACACUAAAAAGAGUUGCCGUAUGAUCCAGCAAUCCUACUCUUGGGCUUAUAUCUUGACAAAACUAUAAUUCAAAAAGAAACAUGCACACCUAUGUUAAUAGUGUGACUGUCACAUUAGCCAAGACAUGGAAACAACCUACAUAUCCAUUGACAGAUGAAUAUAUCGAGAAGAUGUGGGGCAUAUAUACAAUGGACUACUACUCGUUAAAAAAAAGAAUGAAAUGAUGCCAUCUGCAGCAACAUGGGCGGACUCAGAGAUUAUCAUACUAAGUGAAGUCAGAAAGAGAAAGACAAAUACCAUAUGAUAACACUUAUGUGUGGAAUCCAAAAUAUGACACAGAUGAACUUAUCUGUGAAACAGACUCACAUAGAGAACAGAUCUGUGGUUGCCAACAGUGGGUGGAAGUGAUGGAGUGGAAGCCUGGGAUUAGUAAAUGCAAAUUUAUAUAUAUAUAGUGGAUAAACGAGACCCUUUUUUAUAGCACUGGGAACUCUAUUCAAUAUUCU
ensembl:lncRNA